rnacentral:rRNA from 1 species
GAGUUUGAUCGUGGCUCAGGAUGAACGCUGGCGGCGUGCCUAAUACAUGCAAGUCGAGCGAACGGACGAGAAGCUUGCUUCUCUGAUGUUAGCGGCGGACGGGUGAGUAACACGUGGAUAACCUACCUAUAAGACUGGGAUAACUUCGGGAAACCGGAGCUAAUACCGGAUAAUAUUUUGAACCGCAUGGUUCAAAAGUGAAAGACGGUCUUGCUGUCACUUAUAGAUGGAUCCGCGCUGCAUUAGCUAGUUGGUAAGGUAACGGCUUACCAAGGCAACGAUGCAUAGCCGACCUGAGAGGGUAAUCGGCCACACUGGAACUGAGACACGGUCCAGACUCCUACGGGAGGCAGCAGUAGGGAAUCUUCCGCAAUGGGCGAAAGCCUGACGGAGCAACGCCGCGUGAGUGAUGAAGGUCUUCGGAUCGUAAAACUCUGUUAUUAGGGAAGAACAUAUGUGUAAGUAACUGUGCACAUCUUGACGGUACCUAAUCAGAAAGCCACGGCU